AAGUAAAAAAAAAAAUAGAAGACAUAUAUAAAACAAGAAAAGAAUGGCAAUUAACUAAAGCUAAAAAUCCAAAACCUAAUCCUCGUAUUUUUUUACCUCCAGCCGUCACACCCCUCUACGGUUCCUUAUUCCCUUUGUCAAUUCCACCCCAAAUCUUAUUCCAUAUCAAAAAAUCAUAAGGGGUUUUCUGGUGUUAUGUAAUGGAGUUGGGUAAAUGACUAAUCAAUUUUUUUUUUUUUAGAAUGGAAGGGCAAAAGUAUUGCAUAUAUUUUAAGUGAUGGUUCCUCUGUAUUAAAUUUACAUCAGCAAGAUCUUCAUAAAUGGUCUAUCAUAAAUUUGAAGCGGGUUUUGAAAUGCGAUUAAGGAGAUGCUAUUGAUCGCUUUUGAUAGAAUUGUCUUGAUCUUUCUCCAAGGUACAUUUAUGGAAUUACUAUAGCAGAAGCAAUGACAAACUAGAGGGUAGAUAUUGAUCAAAGUAAGAUUGGAGGCUGCGUGGGAGGAGCGAAAUCAGAAGGUUGUGCGGCUUUGAGUCUCAAGCAAGAUACUACUAUUGUAAUUGGUGUCAUAGAAGAAUUAUGUAUUGUGAAUGUUUGAAAUUUUAGAUAUGUAACUAACUAUAUGUAAAUUGAAACUUACUCUAUAUGUAAAUUGAAACUUACUCUGGAAUACAAUU